UAGGAGUCUCCCCACAGCAGCCCAUCCAUCACAGGCCUAAUCUUCACAAGCAGCAGAAUGGAUGAGGUGGUAGAGUGGACUGCACUACAUUAGUCUACAGACUAUUUUUGGCUCCUGUAUUUCCCUCCGACACCAGCCUUGUCACGUACAGCGGCUGGUGUGUUGAUAAUAUGCUGACUUCAUCUCAACGGCUCAGGAGACUGAUUUCGCCCCCCCCACCUCCUUUAGAUGUGACCUUACCGAAGGAUGAAGGACACGCUUAGCGCAAACGAUGACACAGAAGAUCAUUCGGCUACACUUCUACUACAUCAUUCAUGCCACAAGAAAAUCUGAUGCUGGCAGCCAGGUUUGUUAAGAGCAAAAACUAAAUGUAAAAAAAAAAAGGGGGGGAGUUAAAAGACCCAUGAGUGACAGUUUA